AACGUAGGAGGCAAGCGUUAUCCGGAUUUACUGGGCGUAAAGCGCGUUCAGGCGGUUUGGCAAGUCGGGCAUGAAAUCUCUCGGCUCAACCGGGAGAGGUUGUCCGAUACUUCCAGACUUGAGGGCAGUAGAGGGUGGUGGAAUUCCGGGUGUAGAGGUGAAAUUCGUAGAUAUUAGGAAGAACACCGGUGGCGAAGGCGGCCCACUGGUCCGGUACUGACGCUGAGGUGCGAAAGCGUGGGGAGCAAACAGG
rnacentral:rRNA from 1 species